UCCUACUAGAGUUCGAUUCUGUUCUUAACUGAAUGGAGUAGCUAUCUUUCGGGGUAGUCAAUUGGUUAUUAUGUCUCCACUAAUAAGCAGAGAGGAGUAAAAUCUUCAAAGUAAGUUAUGUGGAUCAAGGUAUAGUGAUUAAUUGGAGUUCUAGUUCAUUUACUUUGAGAAAAUUAGAGUGUUUAAAGCAGCCUCUUGGGGCACUGAAUACAUUAGCAUGGGAUAAUAAAAUAGGAUCUUCACAAUAUAUUUUAUUGGUUUAAAUUGGAUAUGAAGAUAAUGAUUAAUAGGGACAGUUGGGGGUAUUCAUAUUGGGUGGUUAGCGGUGAAAUGCUCGGAUCCAUUCAAGAUGAACUAAAGCGAAAGCAUUUACCAAGGAUGUUUUCAUUAAUCAAGAACGAAAAGUUAAGGGAUCGAAGACGAUUAGAUACCGUCGUAGUCUUAACUAUAAACUAUGCCGACCAGGG
rnacentral:rRNA from 1 species